AUGCACCUUGAGCAGCUUGUUUCUGGGCAGUUUUCUUCCAAAUUUUGGGGUCAUCAAAUCAUUCCACAGCAGCGUCUCCGAAUGACUCCAUACGGACUGUCAUCUUCACGUGUACCUGCAGAGUUCUUGUCCAACCCUGCCAACUUAUCCAGUGCGUUCUGCGCAAUCCACCGGGAGUGUGAACCUGGAAGCACCAGAGUCUGUUUUUAUCGAUUUAAGCUGUGCGUCAGUUGCAAGCAGCAACUGCUUCCACACUCUAUGUUUAAAGUGCGAGGCAUUUGCCCGAUAGAAUGGAUCAUUGAUGCAAUUGUUAGCGUCGAUAACAAUGUUGUGUGUACGAUAUUUCCUCUGUAUAAAUACAUGUCGUCUGGUUAUACAGAUGUUCAUUAUGUUUGGAAAGUGAAUUUGUUCCGUGCUAAUUUCAGGUUGUGGCUGGGCAGUGCACCACCAGACAGAACUCCGUGUGCAUUGAGAAUGAGUGCGUUGGAACAGUCUCUUUGGAAAUUCACGGAUGAGCCCAUGAAAAGUGUGAUCAAACCUGAACUUGGCAGAUUGAAAAUUGUACAACAUCAUUUGCAGUCUCUUCGGAUCUGUUGA
rnacentral:rRNA from 1 species